GCUAGUAAUCGUGGAUCAGAAUGCCACGGUGAAUACGUUCCCGGGCCUUGUACACACCGCCCGUCACACCAUGGGAGUGGGCUGCACCAGAAGUAGAUAGCUUAACCUUCGGGAGGGCGUUUACCACGGUGUGGUUCAUGACUGGGGUGAAGUCGUAACAAGGUAGCCCUAGGGGAACCUGGGGCUGGAUCACCUCCUUACUGA
rnacentral:rRNA from 1 species